AUGCGUGUGACCUCCCACGGCUGGAGGGCACGUGCAACCGAGGGAAAUUCAGUUAUGGCAGACGCGAGCGUGCAUGAGUCGGAUGAUGGACAGGAUAACGGCCAGGCUGACAGCAGAGACUUGCUGGCAUGUGAUAGACGAGCACGAGUGAGAGCAAUAGUAUCUGACUAUUCUAAAGUGUGUUUAGAUCCUCCUGCAUCUCUGGUAAAUUCUAUAAAUGAGAGUUAUCCAUCAGGAGCUGGGGUAGCCCUGGCUUUAAAGAGCAGGUACCCUCAAUGCCAUGAGGCGAUUAUGGCUCAGAACCCUCCAUUCGAAAUAGGCCGGGUGUUGGUGUACAGACGGUCUCUAACUGAAGCAAACGAUGGGGUGUAUGAAAUAUUAAAUCUAGUGACUGCUCCAUGUGUGGCUGGGAGUGCUCAUGAGGUGCAAGUUGAACAGUUGGUCAGCUGGUACGACAGUGUCAGACGAGCGUGUGAUACUGGGCAUGUCGCCACAUGCGUGCUGGGAACGGGGCGAUUGGGAUAUGCUGUUAAAGCAUCAUUAGAGGCCUUGAAAGCCGUGAUGGAUCUGCACACAGAUACGAUGUGGACGCUGGUUCUGAACACAGAAGGGUUACUCAGAGCAGCUCGCCAGACGCUCAAUUUAAAGGAGUGGCAGCCAGAGGAAGCUGCAGCACAUCCAGGUCCGACGCUGUACCCUGAUUUGAAUCUUUUACCCUCGUAUGAGGAGAGAGUCAUAGCUGGGUUUCAACCUAUAAAUAAAGAUGUCAGAACUGCUACAGCCUUCCAUUCAGAGGGGAGCGGGGAUGAAUCAGACAGCAGUGAUGAGCAUGAGUCAGAUGAUCUGUGUAGUGAGUUGGUGACUGAUGUCUCUGCUUUGGAAGCACAACUUAAGCAAGGCGACACGUCUGCUUGUCUUGCCUAUGGUGUGAUGAUGCUACAGGGAGAUAUUGGUGCUAGAACACUGCCAGCUCCAAACUGGGUCAUGACUCUCCUGGUGAAGCCAGGAACGGACCUUCGUCGGGACCCUGCAUUAGCACCCUUGAGACACUUAGCCGGGAGGCCAGCCCUAAAAACGUGGGGAUCAUAUAUACCUUCGGGCGGAACGCCAGUAUGGCUGGAUCCGGGGUAUCUGGCGGUUAACGCUAUAGUGGUCAUUUCUCAUGCUUCAGGCUCAACUCCACAGAGGGAGCUGAAAAACUGGAGAAGUCAGACCGAAAGGGCCGUGCUGGCUGCAGGACUGAGAACAACCAGGGUGGUUUAUUACCUUAGAAGCACAAAGAACGUCACCCUGCAGACGCACACAAGAGACGCCAUGCUGCACGCUGCCCUAACCAGUCGGUGGUCAGGCAGACUGAUAGAGCCGGCCAUCUGGGUUCACACCAUGGGUGUGGCGGCAAGAGCCUUGGCAGAGCAAAAACGAGCGGAAUCGGAUUUACCUCAGAGAAGGGAGGCGUCUUGGGCUCCGACAGCACAGAUGCCUGUCAGUGGUCAGUUGGGGCUUGAGAGGGGGGGUCCCUGCAGACCACAACCUCUGAGAGCCCCCGCUCCUCUCAGGCCUGUGACCCCCACAGCUCCACCUUUGACUCCAGUGAGACACUCCACAGAAAUCCCACUUGGUGGACGGUGUGGUUCUGAUUACAGACGGCCUUCGGCUGUUUCCUCGAUAAUACCUCCUCCUCAAUCAGACAGCGAGGAAGAGGGGGGCAGAAAUAAAUGGAUGGGCCCUCAGGACGGAGUAAAAGGGAGAGCUUUAAAACCAAAAAGGAGAACUGAGAGUCAGGCUCCUGGCUCCAGAUACAAUCAGACCCUUCCCCCGUUCACGUGUCCGUGGUGUCGUGGCUUCAGACCCCUCACUGAAGGAGAUAAUCAUCUGGAGCAGGAAUGUGAAAUGCCUGAUCGGUACUCAGGGAGGAAAGAAGCACACAUGAUAAGAAAUGCUACAACCAGCUCAGACGUGAAGCGUCAGUCGGAUUGGACAGCACCAUUCAAAGCUCAGUUUCUGAGUUGUGGAUAUGGUUUUUAUAGAGAUGGCUGUGUCCAGAGGGAUGCUGCCGUACAGCAGAGGUAUGCUCAAUGGGGGCAUCAAUCACGCCCCCACCCUCCUGUUCAGCAGGAAUGUGGAGCCAUGGAGCUGGAGAGACUCGCUCCAGUAGAGACUGCUAUGGUACAGAAAGCUGGCAAUUUGUCUUCAUUGUUGGGUCUUGUGCCUGGCAGGAAGGCGGGAGAGCCACAAAAUCUCGACGUCGCUCGUUUGAGACAGGCCGGUUUGACAGAUCAAGAGCCGGAAGACUCUGACAUGAUUACUUUACCAAAGGCUGAGACUUUGGCUGGUGAAGCUGUCAUCCGGUUGCCAGGCUGUGAUUUGAUGGAUGAGUGUAUCGCAAGGAUGUCAGAUAAGGUUAGGAGAAACUUAAUACCUCUAAGAACAGCUAUGUUGUCCCUUCAAAAAGAGGGAGCAUCAAUCAUACACCAGGAACGGCUGUUAUUAUCACUUCCUGGAACCAUAUCUCUGGCUGUAAAAUGGCGUGGACUGACAAGAGGUCAACAGCUGGAGAAAAUGUAUUAUUGGGAAGUUAAGAAACUGCUUAUUGACCAGUCAAAAAACGCGAGAACCCCCUUCAGUGGGAAUGGGGGGAGCCAGCUUGAGGCCGGAGCAGCUUACCCUCAGGAAAGGAGAGGGGGAGAGACAAGUGUUCACAGGGACGACUCACGGAGAGAUGCGAGCAGAAACCUGAGCAGGCAGCGAGCACAGACUCAGGAGAUGCCAACCGAUUGGAUCCCAGACGAAGAGUAUGCAAAAUUAACGUGGGACCAACGCCGUGCUCAUCGCCGUAUGAGGCGGGGGAGGUUCCAGAGACCUCCUGCGGAUUUACAGUCACCCCCCAUUUCCCAAACCACCCCUUCACCCUCGAAGGGGCAAUAG
ensembl:lncRNA